rnacentral:miRNA from 1 species
CGACUACUGGAACGGUUUAAC